GACGAACGCUGGCGGCGCGCCUAAUGCAUGCAAGUCGAGCGACGCAUAUCGGAGGAGUAAUCCACUGGUAUGACGGAGCGGCGAACGGGUGAGUAUCACGUGAGGAACCUGCCCCGAAGACCGGGAUAGCCCGGGAAACCCGGAUUAAUACCGGAUACUCUCUACAGAUCGCAUGGUCUGUUGAGGAAAGGCCUUUGUGCUUCGGGAUGGUCUCGCGGCCUAUCAGCUAGUUGGUGAGGUAAUGGCUCACCAAGGCAACGACGGGUAGCUGGUCUGAGAGGACGAUCAGCCACACUGGGACUGAGACACGGCCCAGACUCCUACGGGAGGCAGCAGCAGGGAAUCUUGUCCAAUGGGCGAAAGCCUGAGACAGCGACGCCGCGUGGGGGAUGAAGGCCUUCGGGUUGUAAACCCCUUUCAGGAGGGACGAAAUUGACGGUACCUCCAGAAGAAGCCCCGGCCAACUACGUG
rnacentral:rRNA from 1 species